GGACGCGGUGCAGCCACGGACCAGCCCUCUCCGCCGGUCUCCGCUGAAACCCUCGCGCGCCCAGAGUUCCGCGGCGCGCACGAGCCGGGGACCCUAACUUCGGGCCCCGGGACAUCACGCUCAAGCCACGAUCCGCCACUUACGGUUCCAUCUCGGAGCCCCGGGUCUCCGGCCCCCGCCGGUACGUCCCGAGUUAGCCCCGCGUCCCGCAGCCGCCGCCAGAGCCACCAGCGAGGCUGAGCAGCCGGCCGCGGAAAACGCAUCAGAGCGCGACUGCGCGGUCACGUGCGCGGAAGCGGCGGACACGCGGGGCGGGGCAGCCUCCCGUAGCGCUCGCGCCCGACACCUGUCACGUGGGUAGGCGUCCAGGCUAACCCCGUUACGAGGCCACCGACCUCCGAAGGGCACGGACCCCAGAGGCCUUGCGUCCAAGUCUCCAGACAGUCAUCACGGGGGCUGCUUUUCUUCCCCUCGGAAGAUAUUUUCUUUAGAUAUCCAGAGAUGUGGCUAAAUGACCCUACUUAUGAAUGGAGCACACAAACACUUGGGAACUCUGUGUGCAUUGUGGGAUAGACCUUGUUGUGCUUAAAGUGGCAGAAGUCUCCGGGGAGAGCAGAAUGUUCCAUCUACACAGCUACCCUCUGCUUCCUCGAUAGUUUGUGGAUCACGUUCCAAAGGCCACUGUUCCUCUUGAGAACACACAGGACUUUACAAAGAACCAUCAAAUGGAAAUGAUAACUCAGAUCAUUUUCAUUCUCUGAGAUGAAUCAAAUAAAGGUCAUUAAGAAAA